CCAGGUGGAGGAGGUUGAGCGGGGCUGUGUGAGGGUGUGGGCCCGGCCCAUAAAGCGGGAGAGGCGGGAGGGGCUGGGCCCGGGAUGGCAUCGGCUGGGAGGCGGCAGCGGCGGAGGAGGCGGCGGGAGACCGGGCAGGAUGCUCAGGAAAAGGAGGAUUCUGUUAAAAGCCCAGACUACAUAGAAAGACUGGCACGAAAAUACAUGCAGAAGUGCACAGUGGAAUCAAGCACAGAGUCUGAGUCUGAAUCCAGGGCAGAGGUUGUGCCUAGCCCACUUGCUGGACGACCCAAGAAAGCAAAGGAAUCCAGGGGACUACAAGUAGGUUUUGGGUAU
rnacentral:lncRNA from 12 species